rnacentral:misc_RNA from 1 species
GUAGGUGAACCUGCGGAAGGAUCAUUAAUGUGUUAAAGGCUUCGGCCUUAUUCACGCCCCUUGUUUAACCUCUGGUUUCUUUGGCGAUGUCCAACGACCCGUCAAACUUUAACUCUGGUAAUGUGAUAACGUCUGAGUUUUAUUCAAAUAAAUAAAAACUUUCAACAACGGAUCUCUUGGUUCCA